ensembl:scaRNA
GGCCUCUCUCCCAUGAGGCUGUGUGGGGGUCCCUUUUCUCCUGAGCCAGGGUUAGAGGUCAAGAUCAGCUUUUGAGGAUCAUUGUUGGAGCUGCCACAAGCUGGCAGUCUUGUUUUCCUGCCUUAGACAUCU